AGCAGCCGCGGUAAUUCCAGCUCCAAUAGCGUAUAUUAAAGUUGUUGCAGUUAAAAAGCUCGUAGUUGAAUUUCGGGGUUAGUAGAUUGGUCAUGCCUUUGGUAUGUACUGGUCUUACUGGUUCCUCCUUCCUGAUGAACCGUAAUGCCAUUAAUUUGGUGUUGCGGGGAGACUGGACUGUUACUUUGAAAAAAUUAGAGUGUUUAAAGCAGGCUAACGCUUGAAUACAUUAGCAUGGAAUAAUGAAAUAGGACGUUCGAUCUUAUUUUGUUGGUUUCUAGGAUUGACGUAAUGAUUAAUAGGGAUAGUUGGGGGCAUUAGUAUUCAAUUGUCAGAGGUGAAGUUCUUGGAUUUAUUGAAGACUAACUACUGCGAAAGCAUUUGCCAAGGAUGUUUUCAUUAAUCAAGAACGAAAGUUAGGGGAUCGAAG
rnacentral:rRNA from 1 species